GCAAAGAGUAUUUGAAAUAGAGGCGGAGUGUCAAAGUAAAUUAUGUAGCCACAGAAAUUUACUGCCAUCUUUCGACACAUGAUUAAAACUUUUAGAACGCCAUUUGACUUUGAUCCUUAUUCUUUCACUGAUAUGUGUUAAAUUUGUUAAAU